rnacentral:lncRNA from 1 species
AAUUACUCGGCAAAAUGCUCAUCAACAAAUUUUAUCUUUUCGUCUUGAUUUCAUUGUUCAUCCAAUUUCUUUUAACUUAGUUUAUGUUUUUUUUUUUAUGUCCUGCUAACUCUCUAUAACUCAAACUGAAUCAUCCAUGGUCGCCUUCUUUUGAAAACAAUGUAAGUUGUAGUUAACAUCGCAUAUUGAUCUUAGAAACUAAGAACUUUACUACAUUUUCUGUUUUAAAAUAGCAUACAAGCUAUUUAUUCAUGAAGCCUCAAUCCUCAAGUCUCUAACUCUCUCCGUUUUCAGUGUUAUAAAUCAGUUACAAUCCAAUCUUUGGUGGGGACCAAAGAAAACAACUAGAUCAAACACGUACUAGAUGUCAACAACUAUGAAGACGUCGGUGAGAAACAACAACAAUGGACUUAGAUCUGAAAGAUUUGAUCGUCUGGAGGAUGCAAAGCUCUCACAUGAAGAGUUUGUUAUGUUCAAAACAGAUUCCCGUUAAGAGUGAAAAGAACUCAUCCAUGUUAACAUCACGACAAGGCACGUCUUCUUUUUAAGGCAUGUACCCAUCUUUAUUUUUAAGUCAUUAAAAAAACCACAAGACAUUCUCAUAUAGAAACUUUAAGUAUCAUUCUCAUAAUUAACUGUUCGUUUGUAAUUAUCCCUCAAAUUUGUGAUACUGUAAUGGCUUUAUUUGUUUAGAGAUCAAUAUUUGGAGAAUUUUUUUUUUUGUUAAGAAUACGGAUUGUAUUUAUAUCAAAUAUUUUAUAAUUUGUAGUAUGGAUUACAAAUGCUAAAUAUAUAUUUAAAUUUAUUUUAA